CCUACGGGUGGCAGCAGUGAGGAAUAUUGGUCAAUGGUCGGGAGACUGAACCAGCCAAGCCGCGUGAGGGAGGAAGGUACAGAGUAUCGUAAACCUCUUUUGUCAGGGAACAAAGGCGGGGACGUGUCCCCGGAUGAGUGUACCUGAAGAAAAAGCAUCGGCUAACUCCGUGCCAGCAGCCGCGGUAAUACGGAGGAUGCGAGCGUUAUCCGGAUUUAUUGGGUUAAAAGGGUGCGCAGGCGGUCUGUUAAGUCAGCGGUAAAAGCCCGGGGCCCAACCCCGGCCCGCCGUUGAAACUGGCAGUCUCGAGUGGGAGAGAAGUAUGCGGAAUGCGCGGUGUAGCGGUGAAAUGCAUAGAUAUCGCGCAGAACUCCGAUUGCGAAGGCAACAUGCCGGCUCCACACUGACGCUGAGGCACGAAAGCGUGGGUAUCGAACAGGAUUAGAUACCCUGGUAGUC
rnacentral:rRNA from 1 species